AGCGAACGUUAGCGGCGCGCCUAACACAUGCAAGUCGCACGAGAAAGGGAGCAAUCCCCGGUACAGUGGCGCACGGGUGAGUAACACGUAGAUGACCUUCCCUGGAGUGGUGGAUAACCUGCCGAAAGGCGGGCUAAUACAGCAUGGGACCACAUGGUUUUGACCGAGUGGUGAAAGCGGGCCUCUGUUCACAAGCUCGCGCUCUGGGAUGGGUCUGCGUCCCAUCAGCUAGUUGGUGAGGUAACGGCUCACCAAGCCGACGAUGGAUAGGGGAACUGAGAGGUUGGUCCCCCCANACUGGUACUGAGACACGGACCAGACUCCGUACGGGAGGCAGCAGUGAGGAAUA
rnacentral:rRNA from 1 species